CAGUAGCCGCGGGAAUACGUAGGGUGCAAGCGUUAAUCGGAAUUACUGGGCGUAAAGCGUGCGCAGGCGGUUAUAUAAGACAGAUGUGAAAUCCCCGGGCUCAACCUGGGAACUGCAUUUGUGACUGUAUAGCUAGAGUACGGCAGAGUGGGAUGGAAUUCCGCGUGUAGCAGUGAAAUGCGUAGAUAUGCGGAGGAACACCGAUGGCGAAGGCAAUCCCCUGGGCCUGUACUGACGCUCAUGCACGAAAGCGUGGGGAGCAAACAGGAUUAGAUACCCCCGUAGUCCCUGUCUCUUAUAA
rnacentral:rRNA from 1 species